rnacentral:lncRNA from 1 species
AUAUAAUGCAUAAAGUUUAAAUAGAAAAUAACAUAAAUGGGGUGUUAUUUAAGUAAGAUUUCCACAGAAGAAAGUGAAGGACGGUUAAUUCUUUAUUUUGUUCAGAGCUAUUGUAUAAUUUUAAUGUACAUCUAAAGUUAUUGAAGUACCAAACAAUGGUAGCCAUAUACAAUUUCUUGCAUUACAAUUUGUCUUUUCACAUACCCCAGCUCGUUCUCCAUGAGACACAGAGAGGGAGAGAAGCUUGGGGUCAGAGUGCAGGGUCAGCCAUUGUACAGUGUCCCUGGAGCAGCUGGGGUUAAGGGCCUUGCUCAGGAGCCCAGCAGAGUAGGAUUCCUCUGCCAGCCAUGGGAUUUGAACCGGCAACCUUCCAGCCACAGGUGCAGAUACUUAGCCCAGAGCCACUGCUCUGCCCCCAUAUAAACAAGUUUCAAGACGGAGAAAAUAAUGGAUUUGUACCUCAUCCACUCUGGUCUGGUACUUUUGGAUUCAGCUUUGGUUUUCAUCAAACACCUCAAAAAAGAAGGAGGAAGUUGCACUGGAUUAUCAAUAACAACACCUAACAGAUGGGUCUUCUGAGACUACAGUUAAUUUAAUGGAGGCACAUAUCAGAACUGGGGAAAGACUGUUAUAAAUUAGAUUAAAAGGUGUGAACUUUUUUUUGCACCACUUUCUAGUUGUAAUGCAUAUUUAUAUCUGUAAAUCCCUGUUUUCUUUCCAUGAGUUUACUUACCACUAGCCUUUCAAAAAAGUUGUAAUUUUACUGGAUGCUCUUUAGUACGCUUUGACUCAAAACUAGGCAGCAGUUUCUGGGUUUGAUCUUUACAAACUUAAGAAACCCACAAUGGAGAAAGCAGCUCAGAUAAGGAGAAAUUAUCACUUUUCAUAUGAAUUAUUAAAGAUAUCCAAACAACAUACUGUAAUUCGGAAGAAAUUAAAUAUAUGAACAACUCACCCCUAUCAUCACAGAUAGUAGCCAAUUUGUUUCUACUGUUGUGUGGCAGUGUCAGCCAUCUUAAAACUGUAAGUUAACAAUGGCCAUUUUAAUGCUCACUUGUCUCUCAAACUGGUUACUAGCCUAGAGACCAAGUAAUCUCCAAGAUAAAACACCAUAGAUGAGGACACAUCCAGAUUUGGAAUUUGGAAGAAUUUAUUUACUGCCUUGUCAAUUCCAGCCUGAAAAGUAAUGUUUGACAUAGCUAUCAUAAAUGGUACUCAUGAUUGUAAAACAAUAAUUGUAUGUCUAUUGGCAUUGUAUAAAACUAGCACAUUAUAUAGACUGUAUGAAGUAACUAUAGUUAUUGAUAUUGGGUAAUAUUCAAAAUAAAAAUGCGUUUUUAGCAUAUUGUAACGCAUACGGCCGACAGGCACUGUGUAAGAGCUGGCUUACCAGAGUGGUGAUCUCUCUUUAGCUCACCAGGCUGGGUCCCUGUUGAGUGACGCCGGAGGCCCGGGUUUGCGUCCCCGACAAUGUGGUGCCGACCGUAAGCAGCAACGGCAAGGGCGCCUCCCUGAACCCCGAAGCGUUACAAUAUUUUAAUGUUCAUUGUUUAAUCAAUCAUUUUAUCCCUUAUGUUUAUUACCGAUAUGUGAGGAGUGUGCAAUUAAACUGUGUUGUAUUUUUGAUAUUGAAGGGUGAAAGAUGCUACCUGUCUAUAUAAAUAAAAAGCAUCAUACCUGAAUACCAUCUAUAUCAUUGUUUAACACACUGUAAAGUGAUUCUGAUACACAUACUGACAAUGGGAAAACGGUUUAGUGAAAACAAUCUAUAGCAUAUGUUGUGGUAUGAAUGACUAUUUUUUUUUAAGUCUCUGAUUUUGCUUCUGUUUUAUUGGCUUCCUGGGGACUACAAAAUUUAAUGAAAGUCUGGAUACAAAAGAAAAGUAUUGAUUUCAUGAAGGGAAAGUGCCCAACAACAGAUUUUCAGACAAUAUUGACUUAAUGGCAAGAAAUGAAGUGGAAAUAAAAGAUCUGACAGCCCCAAUCCAUGCAGCAUCUACCUGCUAUGUGAUCGAAAUCCAGGCACCCAGGGGGAAAAUAAGGUAAUGACCAACUGAGACAAAGACUGCAGUGAUCUGAGGGGAAAUUCCUAAACCACAGUUCACUAGCUCAGGUCGGUGUAGAAACCUCAGAUGUGCACACUUCCUUUCUUAUAAUGUGGUAAGCAUUACUCAGUUUCAAUGGGAUAAAUUACCUAAAACAAAUCUAUAGCUAUAUUUAAAAAAUGUAACAAUUAUAAUACAUUUAAAUAAGACUAUUUUGAAUAUCAAAGUGUGAAUAUGUUGCAUAUGGUCCCCAUAAGGAUGAUACAGCUUUCUGUGGUAACUUGACUUUAUUGAAUUAUGCUAAGCAUAACAAAAAGUCUUCUCAGAAGGAUAUUGUUAAAUGGCCACAUUGAUUUAAUCUACAUAUUUAAAGUCAAAGAUCUGAAUUAUGUGGAUGUUAAUUAGCAGUACAACUUUGCAAUAAUUGAAACAAAAUAACUUAAAUUUAAAUUCCUGCUUUUACUACUAAUGCUGCCUUUUCUUUUUAUGAAAUCAAAGGCAAUAACCACAAACAGCUGUUUCAUCCUGUCCAUGCUACAGAAUAAACUUUGAACGUUGAAAUCAGCUCAUAUAUUGCAUAUACAGGAACAACUUUCCAGAAUAUGAUGUCUUUUAAGAGCAGGCAACCAUUAUAAAUUAUGAGAAUGUACAUAACACCUUCUCCCUGAGUUUUGUAAGACUCAAUGUAAAACUUUACAUGAAACUUCCCAAGUGUCCUAUAAUAAAAAUAGUAACAAAAUGGUUGCAUUAGAUACAUAAAGUGCAAGUAGUGAAGUGAGUUCCUUCCAUGGAUUAAUGGGAGAAUAUAUGUUAUGCAAUCUCCAACAGGGCUUGAUUUUACUUUUAGUUUUAUUUUGGGUUUGGGCAUAUGUGACAUCGUUUGUAAAUAUUUUUGCUCUUUUCUGCUGAAAAUUGUUUGCAAACCCGUAUUGCAAUAAUGGCAGUGAAGCACCCAAGUAUUUAUGGCAUGUUUUAUUUUGAGUUUAAUCAUAUUUCCAAUGUUUAUAUACUGUACUGUAUAAUUUUUAAAAUGUAUGCUAUAUAUGGCAUUUCGCUGUUAUGUGUGAUUUUCUCCAUAUGUAAAAUCAGAUUAAGUAGCCAAAGACAACUGUUUUUUUCCCCUCAUUAAGACUAUGCCAUCAACAUAGCACUACUAAUUUUUAAAUAUUAAGAACAGACUCAAUUUAUAUUCACAUUGCUUUAAUUCACAGCAAAGGUCACAGUUGGCUGUCUUGCACUCAUGAUUCCUACUGUGAGAAUGUACUUUUUAACUCUUAAAUUUUUUAUAACUACAAUAUUUCUGUACAGUUCUCCUCAAAUACCACAGACUUUUACUUUUACUGAAUAUUUUGGGGAAUACAUUUUCAAUAUGAAAACCUGAAUAAUUGGUUUGUGAUACAACAAUUUCCCCUGUAAUUAUCCUGGCUAAAAUUCUCCCUUUAGAUACUCAAUUAAAAUAAAGUUAAAAAAAUGCAAAACUGAAAAGAUGACUAGUCACUGUCUUAACUGCAUUUUACUAAUCCCAUUUUUUCCCUGUUAUUAUAUGUUGAAAGUAACAAAAGUAGAGAUUCUGUUCAUUCUUUGGAAACAAUACUCAGCAUUAUAACCUUUCAAUAAAUGUUUUUCAG